rnacentral:rRNA from 1 species
UCUUAGUGGCGGACGGGUGAGUAACACGUGAGGAACCUGCCUCUGAGAGUGGGAUAGCUUCUGGAAACGGAUGGUAAUACCGCAUAACAUAGCGAAACCGCAUGAUUUUGCUAUCAAAGUAUUUCGCUCAGAGAUGGCCUCGCGUCUGAUUAGAUAGUUGGUGAGGUAACGGCUCACCAAGUCGACGAUCAGUAGCCGGACUGAGAGGUUGAACGGCCACAUUGGGACUGAGACACGGCCCAGACUCCUACGGGAGGCAGCAGUGGGGGAUAUUGCACAAUGGGGGAAACCCUGAUGCAGCGAUGCCGCGUGGAGGAAGAAGGUUUUCGGAUUGUAAACUUCUGUCGUAAGGGAAGAGAAAGGACUGUACCUUACAAGAAAGCUCCGGCUAACUACGUGCCAGCAGCCGCGGUAAUACGUAGGGAGCGAGCGUUGUCCGGAAUGACUGGGUGUAAAGGGAGCGUAGGCGGGAUGGCAAGUCAGAUGUGAAACCUGAGGGCUCAACCUUCAGACUGCAUUUGAAACUGCUGUUCUUGAGUGAAGUAGAGGUAAGCGGAAUUCCUGGUGUAGCGGUGAAAUGCGUAGAGAUCAGGAGGAACAUCGGUGGCGAAG